UGGGGAAUAUUGCACAAUGGGGGAAACCCUGAUGCAGCGACGCCGCGUGAGUGAAGAAGUAUUUCGGUAUGUAAAGCUCUAUCAGCAGGGAAGAAAAUGACGGUACCUGAGUAAGAAGCCCCGGCUAACUACGUGCCAGCAGCCGCGGUAAUACGUAGGGGGCAAGCGUUAUCCGGAUUUACUGGGUGUAAAGGGAGCGUAGACGGCAGGGCAAGUCUGAAGUGAAAGGCGGGGGCUCAACCCCCGGACUGCUUUGGAAACUGUCCGGCUGGAGUGCAGGAGAGGUAAGUGGAAUUCCUAGUGUAGCGGUGAAAUACGUAGAUAUUAGGAGGAACACCAGUGGCGAAGGCGGAUUGCUGGACAGUAACUGACGGUGAGGCGCGAAAGUGUGGGGAGCAAACAGGAUUAGAUACCCUGGUAGU
rnacentral:rRNA from 1 species